UUUGCAUUGGACAAGUGUAAUGGCUUAUUACACUGGUGAUAUGUUUAGCACAGUCAUUGAUCAAUCCUGCACCUCCUCCACCACCCACACACACACACGUCCUCAAAUAAAAAAAAGAAAGAAAAAAAGCAUGAGAAGUAUCUGGAAAUAAGUGCUAAUACUGGCAUGAGAGAUAUUGUACAGUUUCAUAUGGUGAACAUAUUAGAUGACGUUAUCUAUGCAAAACCAGUAUAAAAUCAUAAAGAAAUGGAUUCUGAAAAUGAAAAAGAAUUAGCAUGGAAAUAUUGUGAAAGCUGUGAAGCUUAGGUCAAGAGUUCUUGCUGAUGUGGAGCAUGCUUUUUAAGAUAAUCAAUUUGUGUUUUAGCUUAUUCUAACUUGUAACUGUGAUAGACAUUUAUUAUGUACAUAAUCCUUUUCUGGUUUAUGUUCUUUUGAUUUGGAUGAUUUCCUACUAUUAGUUUCUGGCAUCUGAUCUCGCAUGAUCAUAAAUAUUACAAUGGUUCAAAUUUUUUCAUCAUAUGUGGUGUAGGGCUAAACAUUCUGUUGGUUCGGUUCAAAACCGAACCAAAUAAACCGAGAACUAAAUUUUGUACGAAAGUAAAAACUGAACUAUUUAAACAACUAAACUGAAUCAAACCGAAAUAAAUAGGUUCGGUUUGGUUUGGCGGUCAAUUCUUCAACCUCUUAGUUUUUCAUUCUCAAGUAUUCAGCAGCCAACAAAUCUAGAGAAUCCAAACCAAAAGAAAAAACAAAAGAAAAUAAAUUACAUUCAUCAAUUAAAAUUUGCUGAAAAACAACAACCAACAAUAAAUUAACGAAUAUUGGAUUCAUUUACAAAUUUGAAUCUCAAAAAAUAAUGGGAAGAUUUGAAUCUCAAAACUAGAAUACAAAAUAUUAUCCAAGUUGACAAACCCAGAGUAUCCAAAUACAAAAAAACGUCAACAAUCAAAAUUUGCUAAAAAAAACAAUCAAUUAACAAAUAUUGGUUUCAGUUACAGAUUUGAAUCUCCAAAAAAGGAGACAGAGAAUGCGAUGCUGUUUUAAGAUGAGCAGACGAGAGGGCACAGAUGAAGAGGAGCAGACCAGGAGGCGUAGAUGGAGAUGGAGAAAAGGAGGAGGGGGAGGAGGAGGAGGCGGCUGAGAAAUGGGUUCAAGGGGAGGUUGCUGGAGGUUAGAUUGAGGCUCUUGGACUUCACCCUGGGCAUAA
rnacentral:misc_RNA from 1 species